CUACGGGGGGCUGCAGUGAGGAAUCUUGGACAAUGGGCGAAAGCCUGAUCCAGCGACGCCGCGUGGGUGAAGAAGGCCUUCGGGUUGUAAAGCCCUGUCAGAGGGGACGAAGUUCUGACGGUACCCUCAGAGGAAGCACUGGCUAACUCCGUGCCAGCAGCCGCGGUAAUACGGAGAGUGCAAGCGUUGCUCGGAAUCACUGGGCGUAAAGGGCACGUAGGCGGCUUUGUGUGUCGGGUGUGAAAUCCCGCGGCUCAACCGCGGAACUGCAUCCGAAACUGCAAGGCUAGAGUACGGAAGAGGAAGGCGGAAUUCCCAGUGUAGGGGUGAAAUCCGUAGAUAUUGGGAGGAACACCAGUGGCGAAGGCGGCCUUCUGGGACGAUACUGACGCUGAGGUGCGAAAGCGUGGGGAGCAAACAGGAUUAGAUACCCCGGUAGUC
rnacentral:rRNA from 1 species